CUCCAUCAGAAACAGAUUUCUGGCGGCUCAGCUGUUAGCUGACUCCCCUUCAUCGCUACGUUUAGAGGAUGACGAGCAGAGAGCAGAGAGGGAUCAGCGCAGUGAUGGAUAGUCAGAUCACGAUGUUAGACGCUCCACAUCCAGCAUCAAAUUCUCUAGUCCAAUCACAAUCCUCCAAACUGACGCUGAUGUUAAGUAUCAAAGUUCAGCUGUGAUUCUCAGAGAUAAUCUGUGAUGGCUUUAUUUAGUCCGGACCCUCUCAGUGCUUCUCUGAUUUCUAGCGUGCAAAAACAACCUGCUUCAAAUGUCCAAUCAGAUUACCUGUCAGGUAGAAGCUAGACCAGAGGGACAGAACGAGGUAGAACAACAAUCUAAACCACAACCACCAACACUCUGAUCCCCCAUCCUGAGUAACACCUCCACAGGUAGAUCAACACUCUGAUCCCCCAUCCUGAGUAACACCUCCACAGGUAGAUCAACACUCUGACCCCCAUCCUGAGUAACACCUCCACAGGUAGAUCAACACUCUGACCCCCCAUCCUGAGUAACACCUCCACAGGUAGAUCAACACUCUGAUCCCCCAUCCUGAG